rnacentral:rRNA from 1 species
CAGCCGCCGCGGUAAUACGUAGGUCCCGAGCGUUGUCCGGAUUUAUUGGGCGUAAAGCGAGCGCAGGCGGUUAGAUAAGUCUGAAGUUAAAGGCUGUGGCUUAACCAUAGUACGCUUUGGAAACUGUUUAACUCGAGUGCAAGAGGGGAGAGUGGAAUUCCAUGUGUAGCGGUGAAAUGCGUAGAUAUAUGGAGGAACACCGGUGGCGAAAGCGGCUCUCUGGCUUGUAACUGACGCUGAGGCUCAAAAGCGUGGGGAGCAAACAGGAUUAGAUACCCCCGUAGUCCCUGUCUCUUAUACC